rnacentral:rRNA from 1 species
UACGUAGGCAGCAAGCGUUGUUCGGAAUUACUGGGCGUAAAGAGUGUGUAGGCGGUGCUCCAAGUCUGGUGUGAAAUCUCCCGGUUUAACUGGGAGGGUGCAUUAGAAACUGGAAUGCUAGAGGAUGGGAGAGGUAAGCGGAAUUCCUGGUGUAGCGGUGAAAUGCGUAGAUAUCAGGAGGAACACCUGUGGUGUAGACAGCUUACUGGACCAUUUCUGACGCUGAGACACGAAAGCGUGGGUAGCAAACAGG